AUUCGUUCACUGCAGGUAGCUUUUCCCCAGCGGCGUUUCCGUUUUGAUUGCUUUGAACCGGAAACUAAAGCUCGUGAAGCUCAGUAGAAGUUGGUGGUAGCUGUACUACAUAAUUUUCUUCAUUCAUCUUGCCCAAGCGACGUCUAUACAAUAACUGCGCGUGCGUGGGCGGGAUAUGACGUCAUUGGCGACUGGAGGGACCCUCUGCAUCCACAGUACGUUUGGACGUGAGGACGAGAUGAUGCAAACAAACAAGAAAGUGGGCGUUGAGCAUGAGGACACAUGAGGACAACUGCGGAAGACAACCACAAGAUGGACGUCUGUGAUGAUACAUGCAGCCUGUGUGUGUGUGUGUGUGUGUGUGUGUGUGUGUGUAUACCUACAUGCUGUCUCUUCUGAAUAUGCAGGCCAUUGUAAAAAAAACAAAAAAACAAAUUGGUUUUAGAAAACUAAAAAUCCAUUUUCACUCCACACAAGCAUCACAAUUAUCACAUUAUUGUGAAAGGGUGCCAACAGGAAGUGAACGGGAGUCCUGCCGGUCCAAAAGCUACGCCUGGCAUAGGUGUUCUUUUCAUCUCCAAAAGGUUUCCAUCAUGGAAUACCGCUUCAUGGUCACAAACACGUCGUCAUGACAACCAACACAAACAAGUGACGUCACCAUUGACCCGCUGUGCCGCACACACGCACACCGAGAGGAAAAUGGACGAAUGGGUGAUAAGAGGAUGGAAGCUCACUUCUACCAAAUACAUUUGGGUGCCAACUUGUGGGCACUAGCUGGCGUGGUGUGGGCCAGACCCCCGCCCCCACCUAAAAGCCCCCUCGGGCGGCUAUGUCUUGUUUGUGACAUUAAGAAAAGACACAAAGAAAAGGAGGGAAGGAAGAAAGUUCUUCUGCAUCCUGGCCAAAUAUGCUAAUUGGACUGACCCCUAGAGCAACCCCACCCCACCCACACCCCACCCACCCAGAAAUGAGGAGUGGAAGGUUUGGUGCUUGUGGUGCACUUCCCUGCUUCCCUACUUGUCUUUAGGACACAAGAUGAGAGGAAACAGCAUAUUUCUUCCCAUGCCUGCAUCGGAACGCUUGAGUCCUUUUAUGGGCAUCCAGGGGAACCGGAACUGCAGGAGCUUCCUCCCCCCCAACCCCCCCUCCAUGACUGCGUCCAUAUUUGGUCACGGGGAAGAGAAACGGCGUCGUCAGCGACACAGCCAUGUUUGGCGUGGAGCAUCCUUCUCAGCCUCUUCCCGCCGAGGAGAUCCAGCGUUCUAUUUUUAGCAACGAGCCCAGGCAGCUUCUCCCGCCUGCCAUCCCACACGGGGACGUGGGCGGCGGGAGACGAGCCGUAGUGAGCGGGGGGCGGGGACGGGGCGAGCUGACUGUCAAUCAGCAUCACGAAGCUCUGCAUGGACCCGCCGCUUAGUCGGGUCAACAAAUAUGCUUUUCAUGAGGUUCUCUAUGGGGCUAUUAAUAGUUCUAGCAAAACUAUGUUGACAUCCGUUGGCUUUCAAUCAUUCUAGUUAUUAUUCUAGAAAUAAAAAUAAUUAUAUAAAUGGAUAUUAUUCUAUAACAUUAUCAUUUUUUUAUUUAAAUAAGUACAAAUUAUUAUUCU